rnacentral:lncRNA from 10 species
GACAGGAAGUGAGCGCGCGGCCCGCCAGAUGUGGGGAGCCAGGGAGCUGGGAACAGCCACAGCUGGACUGGCGGCCGGCCGGGAGCGGGGUUAGGGGGGAGGGUGUGUGGAGGGUGGAUCCCCAGGCCUCCGGUCCCCUCUUUGUUCCCCGCCGCCCCAGCCUCCCCUCCAAAGACCCCUCGUCCCCAUCCCCCGCUCAUGUGGGUCGUGGCCUCGCUGUCCCUCAUCUGGGCGCCAAUCCCCUCGCUGGCUCGAGGGCUCUCAGAUCCUGGGCAGGGAGGGGGACCCUGCCCCUCGCCCCAGGGACCCCCAGGUCCCAGCAGAGUCGGGGGUAAGAGGGGGAGACGGCCUCUCGCCGGCCCCGCCUGCCACCGCCAUUGUUUACCCGUCGGCUGCCUCCUAGGAAACUUAACCCGCCCGCGGUAAUUUUAUUUGGGAACUUCGGCCAGUUGCCAUAGCAACCCCCAGUGACGUCAGAGGGGCUGGGGCCCGAAAUCCCCGGGAAAGUGGGGGGGAUGGGAUGGGGGGGAGACCCCCAGAAGGGCUCUCCUUAACCCUCUGCGUACCAGAUCCCAGCCAGGCAGGGACAGCCAGAUGUGACACUUCUUGGGUGCGCCCCCCCAGUUCUGGCCUGGGGCCAGGUCAGGGUGGCAGGCCAGGCCUUGAUGUCAUCGGGAGCUGGGUGGGUGGUGAGUCAUUCCUGAGGUGGGGGCUGGGCCAGGCCUGGGGUCUAUUCCUGUCUGACCUGCCCCACCAGUGCCCUUGAGCAAUACUGGGACCCUUCCCCGGGGAUUUCAGGCACCUGGCUGGGAGUCCCCACAGAUCCCUGGGACCUCUCUGCCCUUCUGAACCAUUAUGUAGGUAGACAAAGUCUUUCCUGGUGCUCCAGACACCAGGCAAUUGAGUUUGUCACGGUGAGCUGGGGCCACCGUGUAAUGUCCUUCUCCGGAUGUGGGGAGUGGCUGGUGCCCUGGUGAGGGGGCAGGGAUGUGGUGGGAUCCCGGCUCAGUCCAUAACACAGCUGGUCGCCAGGGCAACAGGAGGCAGGGGCCCUGACUGGCAUGGGGGUCACUGCCGCCAGCCGGGGGCUGGGCUGGGAGGAGCCACUCUAACCGCAGUGACGUGGGACUUCCUCGGCAGGGCCUGUUUGAUGUCUCUGUGUGUGGCGUUGCCAUGGGGCCCAGCAGGCAGCCCUGCAUGUGAGCUGGGGUGACCUGUGGGCCGGCUGGGCCUGUCAGGGUCCCUUGAUCCAGGUGUACCUGGUGUAUCACUUACCCUCUUUCUACCUGCGAUCAGCACAUCACACGUCUCACCUCAAAGCCUGGUAACAACUGCAAAUUGCGCAUUUUCAGCCCCAUUUUUCAGCCGACAAAACUGAGGCUUAGGAAGUGUAAUCGCCUGGCCCCAAAGCCAUCCCAAAGACAUCCAGCUAGAAAGCUGGGGUGUAGGGCCUGGCGCUGUGGCUCACACCUGUCAUCCCAGCACUUUGGGAGGCUGAGGCGGGCGGAUCACUUGAAGUCAGGAGUUCAAGAUCAGCCUGGCCAAUAUGGUGAAACCCUGUCUCUACUAAAAAUAGAAAAAUUAGCCGAGCAUGGUGGUGCACGCCUGUAAUCCCAGCUACUUGGGAGGCUGAGGCAGGAGAAUCGCUUGAACUGGGGAGGCAGAGGUUUCAGUGAGCCAAGAUUGUGACAAUGCACUCCAGCCUGGGCGACAGAGUGAGACUCCUUCUCAAACAAAACAAAACAAAACAAAUCUUUGUUCUUCUUCCAUUCCACUCCUCUCUCUGCCUCCAUGAAACCGGUCUGCUUUGCUGGUUUUCCAAUGUUCCAGGCACCGUCCUACCGCAAAGCCUGUGCACUGGCCGUUCUCUACCUGGAACUCUCUUCCUCUCGAUGUCUUCCUGGCUUUUCCCUCAGUGCCUAAAAGUCUUUGUUCAAAGUCACCUCCUCCUCAGGGAGGACUUUCCUGACCUAACCUCCACUCAUUUCAUCUCUCAUCUCUCUUGCCUUUUUCUAGAUUACCCAUAGACUUUCCACCCAACACAUUUUAUAUAUAUAUAUAUAUAUAUAUAUAAUAUAAUUUAAAAC